rnacentral:piRNA from 1 species
UAUCACCUUCGUCCCACACACUUUCA